UACGAAGGGGGCUAGCGUUGCUCGGAAUCACUGGGCGUAAAGCGCACGUAGGCGGCUUUUUAAGUCAGGGGUGAAAUCCUGGAGCCUCAACUCCAGAACUGCCUUUGAUACUGAGAAGCUUGAGUCCGGGAGAGGUGAGUGGAACUGCGAGUGUAGAGGUGAAAUUCGUAGAUAUUCGCAAGAACACCAGUGGCGAAGGCGGCUCACUGGCCCGGUACUGACG
rnacentral:rRNA from 1 species